UACGUAGGGGGCAAGCGUUGUCCGGAAUUAUUGGGCGUAAAGAGCUCGUAGGCGGUUUGUCGCGUCUGCUGUGAAAUCCCGAGGCUCAACCUCGGGCCUGCAGUGGGUACGGGCAGACUAGAGUGCGGUAGGGGAGAUUGGAAUUCCUGGUGUAGCGGUGGAAUGCGCAGAUAUCAGGAGGAACACCGAUGGCGAAGGCAGAUCUCUGGGCAUUAACUGACGCUGAGGAGCGAAAGCAUGGGGAGCGAACAGG
rnacentral:rRNA from 1 species